rnacentral:rRNA from 1 species
AUUGAACGCUGGCGGCAGGCUUAACACAUGCAAGUCGAGCGGAGAUGAGGUGCUUGCACCUUAUCUUAGCGGCGGACGGGUGAGUAAUGCUUAGGAAUCUGCCUAUUAGUGGGGGACAACAUUCCGAAAGGAAUGCUAAUACCGCAUACGCCCUACGGGGGAAAGCAGGGGAUCUUCGGACCUUGCGCUAAUAGAUGAGCCUAAGUCGGAUUAGCUAGUUGGUGGGGUAAAGGCCUACCAAGGCGACGAUCUGUAGCGGGUCUGAGAGGAUGAUCCGCCACACUGGGACUGAGACACGGCCCAGACUCCUACGGGAGGCAGCAGUGGGGCAUAUUGGACAAUGGGCGGAAGCCUGAUCUAGCCAUGCCGCGUGUGCGAAGAAGGCCUUUUGCUUGUAAAGCACUUUAAGCGAGGAGGAGGCUACCUGGAUUAAUACUCUAGGAUAGUGGACGUUACUCGCAGAAUAAGCACCGGCUAACUCUGUGCCAGCAGCCGCCGUAACAC